rnacentral:rRNA from 1 species
GGUUAAGCGACUAAGCGUACACGGUGGAUGCCCUGGCAGUCAGAGGCGAUGAAGGACGUGCUAAUCUGCGAUAAGCGUCGGUAAGGUGAUAUGAACCGUUAUAACCGGCGAUUUCCGAAUGGGGAAACCCAGUGUGAUUCGUCACACUAUCAUUAACUGAAUCCAUAGGUUAAUGAGGCGAACCGGGGGAACUGAAACAUCUAAGUACCCCGAGGAAAAGAAAUCAACCGAGAUUCCCCCAGUAGCGGCGAGCGAACGGGGAGCAGCCCAGAGCCUGAAUCAGUGUGUG